rnacentral:rRNA from 1 species
UACGGAGGGUGCAAACGUUGCUCGGAAUCACUGGGCGUAAAGGGCGCGUAGGCGGCUUUAUAAGUCGGGGGUGAAAGCCUGUGGCUCAACCACAGAAUUGCCCUUCGAUACUGUAGAGCUUGAGACCGGAAGAGGUUAGUGGAACUGCGAGUGUAGAGGUGAAAUUCGUAGAUAUUCGCAAGAACACCAGUGGCGAAGGCGGCUGGACUGGUCCGGUUCUGACGCUGAGGCGCGAAAGCGUGGGGAGCAACAGG